rnacentral:rRNA from 1 species
AUAUCAAUAAGCGGAGGAAAAGAAACUAACAAGGAUUCCCCUAGUAACUGCGAGUGAAGCGGGAAAAGCUCAAAUUUAAAAUCUGGUAGUCUUUGGCUGCCCGAGUUGUAAUCUAGAGAAGCAUUAUCCGCGUCGGACCGUAUACAAGUUUUCCUGGAACGGAGCGUCAUAGAGGGUGAGAAUCCCGUCUUUGAUACGGACUACCGAGGCUUUGUGAUGUGCUCUCAAAGAGUCGAGUUGUUUGGGAAUGCAGCUCUAAAUGGGUGGUAAAUUCCAUCUAAAGCUAAAUAUUGGCGAGAGACCGAUAGCGAACAAGUACCGUGAGGGAAAGAUGAAAAGAACUUUGGAAAGAGAGUUAAACAGUACGUGAAAUUGUUGAAAGGGAAACGCUUGAAGUCAGUCGCGUUUGCCGGGGAUCAGCCUUGCUUCUGCUUGGUGUACUUCCUGGUUGACGGGUCAGCAUCAAUUUUGACCGGUGGAUAAAGGUCAAGGGAAUGUGGCACCUUCGGGUGUGUUAUAGCCCUUGGCUGCAUACAUCGGUUGGGAUUGAGGAACUCAGCACGCCGCAAGGCCGGGUCUUUUUGAUCACGUACGUGCUUAGGAUGCUGGCAUAAUGGCUUUAAUCGA